UUGGUGAUAACUCAGAUGACAUCAACUGACAAUACAGAGAAAAAUAGUCUGCAAUUGGAUUAGGUUUUGAAAAGGAAGUCAUCAGAGAAGGAAAGCACAAGUGCAUUGUUGAUUAGGUGAGUGGUUUAGAUGGAGGUUUGGGUUUGGGGGUAUUGGAAAUGCUGACACUGAGGAGAGAGGGAUGUGUACUCUGGAUCCUUUAUUUCAAUAUAGAGAAAAUCAGUUUUCAGAGGAGUAACACAGUGAAAAGAUUGCACACUGGAGCAUUCCUUGUAAAAUCAGGAUGCAGAGUAGGAGAAUGUCAUUGCCACCCGAGGACAAGGGGAGAAAGAUUCCUUCGCUGGCAAAAUGCUAAUGGUUGGGGGUCUAGAUAAUAAGCAAAUGGGAAUUCCUCACUUGUGAGGAUAAACGAGACGUUAUUGGUAUGACUGAGACCUGGAUGAGACAUGUGACUGGAAUGCUAAAAUCAAUGGCUUAGAAAGGACCAGGUGAGGAAAAACUAAUCAAACUGUCACUCUUUGUUGUGUAUAACUCAGAAGUGAGUGACUGUAAAAACUUGAGUUGAGUCCCAACAAGUGAAACACAUGGUGUAAUAUAAUAGUAAGUAGUGCUGGUAGCAAAUGUAAAGGAAACCUUUCAUCCUCAAUCUCUCUCUGAUGUAUAGGAGACUGACCUGUACUAGCACAGGAGGUGUCAUGUGGAACAUGUUUGCCAGUACUAAAAUAUGUUUAGCUUCAGAAAAUGAUCGAUGAGAGUUGCUUAAGUAAGCCUAACUCUGGGAAAUUUUGUAUUAAAAUGGCACUCUGACAUGUCUGUGGUUUUUGCGUGUGUGUGUUCUUUGUUUUUUGUUUUUUUUUUAAAUAAUCAUAGAACACUUAAGAAAUUCCAGAAGCAGGAAAAAAAAGCUGAGGUUUUGUCAGAGGGUAAAUGGAAUUACUGUCAGAUAGUCUGGCAUCCAUCCCAAGUAAAGUUAGGAAAUGGUUGAUGUGAGACUUGAUUGAUGAAGAGUUUAAGGAGUGGAAUAUAAUGAAUGCUGAUCUACAGGGAUUUGUGGGAAGUAGACCUUAACAAGUUAGACAUCACUUUUUAUGAGGUUACAUGUUUGGUUGAUGAAGGCAUCUGUAAUAGAUGUCUAUAAGGGUUUGAACUCAGUAGUCCAUGGCAUUUUGAUUAAAAACUAAUAUUGCCAUGGCCCAUUCUAAGUGGAUUAAAAACAGGCUAAUAUAUUGUGGCGGACAGAUGAGUGAACUUUUGCCUUAAACAUUUCUUGGUACAUAAGGUGCAAGCAAACCAAAACCCCAAACAAGCCAUCUGUUCCCAGCGGAAACAGGACUGAGCUGCUGCGACCCCUGAAAUGGUCUCCCUGCGACCAUUCGGGACACACCGAGCCUGCACUGAACCGGACCACGAUCGGACAGAGACUUUGGGACCUGGACUGCAAAUUACUGCCGCUUAACACAACUUUUAUAAAACUUGCUUAGCCGCACUCCCUAGUUCAGUGAGAAGGGGCCCCAGAGCUGGUGCAGACUGGAAAGAUAAGGGAGUUACAAGCAGUUUGCAUUCUUAUGCGUCACACUCCAGGAGGGAGGAUGUGAAGGCUUUGAAAUAAGGCCUGCUUGGGCGCCAGGACCCUUGGAAACAAAGCCUCCCCUCACUGCUGAAACAGUGUUAAUUAGGGGGGGUCUGGAUUAUACCCUCCUCGUCAGGACCUUGGAAGAUAACACCUACUGUCACUGCUGGGGCAGUGCUAAUUGCUGGAACAACACCUGUUUGUCAGGGCCCUGAGAAAGAAGGGCAGAACCCGAGGAAUCAACACAUUUGUCAGCAGAAACCACAACAGUAAAGAUAAGGGAGAAAAGCAGCCUGCCUGGGAACAACGAGGAGACCCAAUAGGGAGCAGGAGACCCCAGACCCAAAAAUUACUAUUGGUCUGAACUACCGCGUGAGGGGUGGGAAACUUAAUUUGAAAAAGCUAUAAUUGCCCAGGGAUUUCUUUGUUCAGGGUCCCUCUUCGGAGGCACCCAACUCGAGCUGUAACUACUGCACGUGUGUCAUUACAAUUUAUUUAUUUAAUUUGCCUUGAUUUGGCUCCGAACUUUUCAGCGGGAACCUAGGGUCGGACCCUGCUCGAGUUGUAAUUACUGCACGCGCAUCACUAAAAUUUACACCCAGGGUGAAGAGCACCAACGGGACGCCGCUGGAUCCACGGGUGGUGAUAUCUCUUUCUCUCCCCCCCUUUUCUCUCUCUCUCUUUCUCCCUCUCUCUCCUCCCCUUUGCCUUUCCCCACCUUUAUUCCCCACUCUGUGGAAAAUAAAUUUAAAAGGUUGUACGAUAUUUGACCGGUUUUAGCGUCUUAAUCUCAUCCUUGGGAUCGUAACGAAACCCUCCCGAUAUUGGAUCGGGACAUCUAACUCAAAAUAUAAUUGUAAACAGACAAUCAUUUUCACACAUCUGUGUUUUUGGUGAAGUCUCUGGAGGGACAGCUUUUUGAUUCUAUGAUAUUUUACAUUUUUCGUUUUGAUCUGUAAGAGAAAAUGAAAAAUUGUCACAAAUUAAGUUUGCAGAAGACUCAGAUUUGGGGGAACUGGGUCAGUAAUGAAGAGAACAAUCUGACUGAUGCUGAGUAAUGCUGAAUCCCUUGGUAAACGGGGCAUAAGGAAACAGUUUUCAGUAUGGCUGAAUAAAAAAUCAGACUUGUAGCAAGGAAUGCUGGGCACACUUAAGGCAUGGGACUCUGUCCCAUGAAGAAAUUUUAAGGGUACAGAUCAGCUGAAAAGGAUUUCCAGUAUGACCUUGAAGGCUAAUUUGACAGUUGGAUUUAAGAACAGAUGAAUACAAAGCUGAAGCAGAGAAAGUCAGUGUUUGACAUGCUGCAAUCAGGAUAACAAAAUGCUGGAGCAUUCUCUAUUCAGCAGGUAUAUUCUCCAUCACCAGAAAUUUUCAUCAAGGUUAGCUGUUUUUCCUGAAAGAUACCUGGUUCAUUUGGGAAAGCGUGUUUCUGCAUGAAGGCUGGGGCCCAGCUGCCACUCACCAAUCAGACCUGCUGAAUGAAAGAUUACUUUUGGUUUGUGAAAAAGAAUUCCACAAUGAGGACAACCUUUUGUGACUGUCAGAAGGGUCCAAGAAAAGUCAAGAUAAAGACCUUUCAUCCUUAUAAUUGUUUUUUCCAGUCAGCCCUGCGGUGCUGUGUUCCCAGGGAAGAAGGGGACUGAAGGGGAUCGAGACCCGGGGAUAAUAUAUCAGUCCAAUAUCUGUCAACUACGUGGUGGUUUCAUUUAUAUUCAUCAACUGAUCAUAGCUUGCGACUGGGCUUCUGAGGCUUUGUACCAGCCGGCACACAGUGACAGGCACAGGGGUUUCUGCAGAGGUCUUACUCACCUGAUGCUGCUCUGUGGAUGGUCCCUGGAAGUGCUGCUGCACCUCUGGGCAGGGCAGCAGCCCCUCCUCCACCUACUGCCAUGGCUAACUUAUGCCUGGGAAGUGGAGCCAGGCAUGAGUUACAGCUGGAGGACAGAGUUAGGAUCAUGUCUUGGUCACACACUUCCAAAGCAGAUUUCACUUUGAGAAACUGGAGCCAAUAGCAUUCACUUCGUUCUACAGGCCUGACCAAAAGCCAAUAGCUGCUACUGAUUCUGCAUCAUACCAGACAGCUCACAGUGAAAAGCGGGAUCUGGCUACACUUGGGAGAAGAAAGGAGCAAAGUAGAUCACAUUUCUCUGCACAAAUCUGAAUAAAUUCAGGUUUCUGUUGAUAAGUAUAUUGUAGCUGCUGUAAAGAUCAUUUAUAAUACCAUAUAAAUGAGUUCUGCGAUGAAACGAUACUGUCUUGGAAGAGGAGUUGUGAGUGCAUUUUUUUCACAGGUCCAGUUCCAAUGUUCAUGAUGCUCCAGUGUGUCUGGGAGACAGAGAUGAGAGACUACAAACAGGAGACAUUUUAAGAAGCUUCCUGGAGCUUUUGGUGAUUCUGUUCUGUUCUCCUCUUCAAAAUGUUGCUUUAUGUGGAUCUCAGUACCCAUCAGACACCCAAAAACAUGUGCUGGAAGAAACAUGUCAAGGACUGACAGCAACUCAAUGGCAAACUGAUGGAAGUUUCCCCAAAUGGUCAAGUGGAUGUGUACUGAAUGAGAUGUGGAAAGUGUACUGACAUCAGAGUAUUUCCUAGAACUCUACUAUUCAUAUAGUGUAGAAAAUUAUUUGUCUGUCUUUCAGAAAAUGUCUUCCUUACAAAAGAUAAAAAAAAGUUUCCUUUUAAAUAUGCAGUGAAUUCUUUAGGUUGUAUAUAAAGUGAAAAGGCUCUCCUUUUUUAUUAUACAGUGAACCUAGCAGAUGUAUUGCACUCUGGCUUUUGUUUGUUUGGGUUUUUUUUCCCCCCAUUUGCACUGUGAUUUUAAAGCAAUAAGCCUUUCCAGCUUUUCUGUUUGCUUCUCCCUGAGGAUGAGAUGAACUUUCCAAUUUUGAGUUCUGCAGUGCCUAAAGUCUUCUUGAGCUUCAAAAAAAUUUAUAUUGUCUAUUGCGUUAGUAUCAGAACAUUCUCAAUCUUCCAUAAACUUCUCUCAAGAGUGAGUGACUGUCUCUGCUUGAAGAUUCUGUUUGUUGUAUUAGGGAUUAAUUCUGGGCCCUCCAGUAGUGUCUCUUUGAAUGGCACAUUUCAGAAACCAAUAACAAUCUGAUCUCUUGGCCAGAAGUCAACCUCUAAAAGUUGCAAGGUUGGCUGUUAGCCCUAAAUCUGGUGUAAACUCUGUUUUCAAGUCUUUUUGCACCCUGUGAUUAAAAACCCAAGGAAUGCCACCUCUCUCAUGUUUUAUUUUUACCUGCAGUACUUUUCUAAUGUUUAUAAUAUAAUUCAUAGUUGCAUGAGAAUCAUUUAAAAAGUACUUUGAAAAACACAUUAUUGUCAGAAAUGAAACUGUUUUUGACUGUUAUCUUUAUACUUAAAAUCUAUUGCUUACAGCAACAUGCCAAAUGUUUCCAAUAGUCCCACAUGUUGUCAGGGGAUUUUGUAUCCUGCAGAGGUUUCAGGAGAUGUGGUUUUAAGGUUCUUCUUUGCUUUAUUUUUUGAUGUUGUGUGUUGUGCAUUGACCACCUAGGACCAAGGAGUGGGGUGAAGUCUACCUCACAGAGUGGGUGAGUCCUAGCUGGUACAUUAUUUGCAAUAUGAAUGUCUUCACAACUCAUCUGAAGUGGCUUGUAUUAGGAAACUAUACCCUUAUAGGAGUCUUGAAGUGUUGCAAAGAUUAUAUAGUGAACUUGCAAGAUGUCAGUGUUGCUCUUGUACAUUCUUUUGUCAUCUCUUAAGUAAUCUCUUUUUAAAUUUUUUUUCCUUCUUUAUUAAAAUUUGUAUUCAUACAUUGUAUGCAAGGUGUCUAUAUUAAGCACUGCCGAAACAGUUUUUCUAUAAUUCUGAAACUGUGUGCAGACUAUAUUAUAUUCAGGUUUAAAUACCUUCAGCUAAUUUUUAAAUGUAAUCUUUC